rnacentral:rRNA from 1 species
CAGUCGAACGAGUUCUCGUUGAUGAUCGGUGCUUGCACCGAGAUUCAACAUGCAUUGAGUGGCGGACGGGUGAGUAACACGUGGGUAACCUGCCCUUAAGUGGGGGAUAACAUUUGGAAACAGAUGCUAAUACCGCAUAGAUCCAAGAACCGCAUGGUUCUUGGCUGAAAGAUGGCGUAAGCUAUCGCUUUUGGAUGGACCCGCGGCGUAUUAGCUAGUUGGUGAGGUAAUGGCUCACCAAGGCGAUGAUACGUAGCCGAACUGAGAGGUUGAUCGGCCACAUUGGGACUGAGACACGGCCCAAACUCCUACGGGAGGCAGCAGUAGGGAAUCUUCCACAAUGGACGCAAGUCUGAUGGAGCAACGCCGCGUGAGUGAAGAAAGCUUUCGGGUCGUAAAACUCUGUUGUUGGAGAAGAAUGGUCGGCAGAGUAACUGUUGCCCGCGUGACGGUAUCCAACCAGAAAGCCACGGCUAACUACGUGCCAGCAGCCGCGGUAAUACGUAGGUGGCAAGCGUUAUCCGGAUUUAUUGGGCGUAAAGCGAGCGCAGGCGGUUUUUUAAGUCUGAUGUGAAAGCCCUCGGCUUAACCGAGGAAGCGCAUCGGAAACUGGGAAACUUGAGUGCAGAAGAGGACAGUGGAACUCCAUGUGUAGCGGUGAAAUGCGUAGAUAUAUGGAAGAACACCAGUGGCGAAGGCGGCUGUCUGGUCUGUAACUGACGCUGAGGCUCGAAAGCAUGGGUAGCGAACAGGAUUAGAUACCCUGGUAGUCCGUGCCGUAAACGAUGAAUGCUAGGUGUUGGAGGGUUUCCGCCCUUCAGUGCCGCAGCUAACGCAUUAAGCAUUCCGCCU